GAUGAACGCUGGCGGCGUGCCUAAUACAUGCAAGUCGAGCGAACAGAUGAGGAGCUUGCUCCUCUGACGUUAGCGGCGGACGGGUGAGUAACACGUGGAUAACCUACCUAUAAGACUGGGAUAACUUCGGGAAACCGGAGCUAAUACCGGAUAAUAUAUUGAACCGCAUGGCUCAAUAGUGAAAGACGGUUUUGCUGUCACUUAUAGAUGGAUCCGCGCCGCAUUAGCUAGUUGGUAAGGUAACGGCUUACCAAGGCGACGAUGCGUAGCCGACCUGAGAGGGUGAUCGGCCACACUGGAACUGAGACACGGUCCAGACUCCUACGGGAGGCAGCAGUAGGGAAUCUUCCGCAAAGGGCGAAAGCCUGACGGAGCAACGCCGCGUGAGUGAUGAAGGUCUUCGGAUCGUAAAACUCUGUUAUUAGGGAAGAACAAAUGUGUAAGUAACUAUGCACGUCUUGACGGUACCUAAUCAGAAAGCCACGGCUAACUACGUG
rnacentral:rRNA from 1 species